AUUGAGCUCUGCCCCUAAAUUUCCCAUAAAAAAAUUAAGCCUCUAAUAAUAUUAUUUCUUGAUAAAAAAAUAUUUGUUAUUGAAUAUUUGUGGGUGUCAACAAUCAUAAGAGCCUUAGAACUUGUUAUGAAGGUUUUGAGAAUUUUGGACUGACAAAAAGUUAUUAUAAAAUGAAAUAAAUAAAUAAAAAUUUACUACAUAAAUACUUUUGUGAUUCUUCCCAACAUAAUCUGAACUAAAUCAUUUUUUUAAUUUUUUCUGUUGGUUUGGAUAUUGCUUUGUGGGAUUUUUGCAAGAGAGUGGUGAUAAAUUUUGCGCCCCAACCCACUCUACCCCUUGGAUGGACAUUCUGGCAACCAGGGAGUAGCCCGUGAUAAACCAUUUCAAAUAUUACACGUUGUUAUGGGUGAUUUAAGCAUUUUUUGUUUAUUUCAACAUUGUGACUCCUAACAAAGUUUGUUAAUAUUGUUUGUAUGGUUGCUUUGGUUUGUUACAUUUGUUUAUGUCUUCUAAUAUUAAAUGGCAUGUUUUUCUUGCUUUGUAAUAUUCCAAAUACUUAACUACCUUUUCUAUGGAGGAAGCUUUCUCAAUAAAUAAAGAAACAAAUAAAGCUGUCCAAUCUAUAAUAGAGUUUGGUAAGUCUCUUAACAUAAUUUAGGUACCAUAAAAUUUUUUUAUUUUAGUAUAUGCGUUUACCUAUUCAAAAUGCAUAUUUUCUCUAUCAAUCCAGCAGUUAACAAAAAGCUUGAUUUUUGACAAAUAGGAUGUAAAGUUGGAGAGAUUAAAUCACAAUGCAUAUCAUAUUAUAAUAAACUUAUUGCUUAAAUGUUCUAAUUUUAACAAUUAAAUAAUUUAAACAAAAUAUAAUGUAUUUUUGUAAUUUAUAAGUUUGGUUAUCGCUAACUAAAUCAAGUUUUGAAUCAGAAAUACCAUCAUUGUUACUUUUAGUCAUUACAAUAUUUUUCAAGAACUAGAAGAUCGAUAUUGUACAUAGCUAAAUUCUCAGAUAUAUGAACAUGAGAAAAUACUUUCAAACAUCAGAUGAAAAAAGAGAAAAAAUUUGAGAUCAUGGCAACUUUGCUCUCAGUAUGUGCAUAUUCCUACACUCUUUUUCACAAAGAAGGUAAAUAAAUGCAAUACCUGUACUUUUAUUUUUUGUUUAUUUAAAACUUCAUGAGUAAAAGACUCAUGUCUGAAUAAUCAAAUCCUAUACAUUUUUUUAUCAAAAUUUGCUCAUGUUAUCCAUCUUCCUAUGUAUUCCUUCCUUUUUGAACCAUCUUACUAGUUUUUCAAAUUUGUCAAGAUGUCGAUCCUAAUGUAGAAAAUGAUGAUCUAACAAAUGAUGAAGGGAUAGAUAGCUUUGUGUUAGAGCUAUCAAAUGCUAUCCAUGGAGUAGAUGAGGUUAUUAAUUUGUUGAAAUGUUGAAAUUUACUUUGUCGUGCUAAUCGUCUUGAAGAAGCUUAUCAAGUAGUGAAGGAGAUACCAUACAAGCCUAAUGUUUGCAAAUCAUGCAAGUUCGUUUUCCUUUUCUUCCCUAUUUUUGGGUGCUUGUGCUUAAGCACUGUAGAAUGUACCUAGGUUGUCUUGUACUUUUGUGUAGUAAGGACCUUGUGCUCGUAGGUUUUUUGCCUUUUAUUUUUGUAGCUCUUUUGAGCAGUAGUGAGCGCGAGGACCUUUUAAGGACUUUGUACUGUUUACCUUUAAUUAACACGUAGGCCCCGCUUUGAAUUUUCUUUA